UGGGGGAUAUUGCGCAAUGGAGGAAACUCUGACGCAGCAACGCCGCGUGAAGGAAGAAGGUCUUCGGAUUGUAAACUUUUGUCUUCGGGGACGAUAAUGACGGUACCCGAGGAGGAAGCCACGGCUAACUACGUGCCAGCAGCCGCGGUAAUACGUAGGUGGCGAGCGUUGUCCGGAAUUACUGGGUGUAAAGGGUGCGUAGGCGGGUUGACAAGUCAGAUGUGAAAUCCCAUGGCUUAACUGUGGGACUGCAUUUGAAACUGUUGGCCUUGAGUGCAGGAGANGUAAGCGGAAUUCCCAGUGUAGCGGUGAAAUGCGUAGAUAUUGGGAGGAACACCAGUGGCGAAGGCGGCUUACUGGACUGCAACUGACGCUGAUGCACGAAAGCGUGGGGAUCAAAC
rnacentral:rRNA from 1 species